UACGAAGGGGGCUAGCGUUGCUCGGAAUCACUGGGCGUAAAGGGCGCGUAGGCGGAUCUUUAAGUCAGGGGUGAAAGCCUGAGGCUCAACCUCAGAAUUGCCUUUGAUACUGAAGAUCUUGGGACCGGAAGAGGUUAGUGGAACUGCGAGUGUAGAGGUGAAAUUCGUAGAUAUUCGCAAGAACACCAGUGGCGAAGGCGGCUAACUGGUCCGGUUCUGACGCUGAGGCGCGAAAGCGUGGGGAGCAAACAGG
rnacentral:rRNA from 1 species